rnacentral:rRNA from 1 species
UCGUCAGCUCGUGUCGUGAGAUGUUGGGUUAAGUCCCGCAACGAGCGCAACCCUUGUCGUUAGUUACUACCAUUAAGUUGAGGACUCUAGCGAGACUGCCUGGGUUAACCAGGAGGAAGGUGGGGAUGACGUCAAAUCAUCAUGCCCCUUAUGUGUAGGGCUACACACGUGCUACAAUGGCUGGUACAGAGAGAUGCAAUACCGCGAGGUGGAGCCAAACUUAAAAACCAGUCUCAGUUCGGAUUGUAGGCUGAAACUCGCCUACAUGAAGCUGGAGUUACUAGUAAUCGCGAAUCAGAAUGUCGCGGUGAAUACGUUCCCGGGCCUUGUACACACCGCCCGUCACACCAUGAGAGUUGGCAAUACCCAAAGUUCGUGAGCUAACCGCAAGGAGGCAGCGACCUAAGGUAGGGUCAGCGAUUGGGGUGAAGUCGUAACAAGGUAGCCGUAGGAGAACCUGCGGCUGGAUCACCUCCUUUCUAUGGAGA